GUACUCCCCUUGGCAGCACACACAGUAAAAAAUUAAAGCAGUACAGAGAAGAUUAGCACAGCCAUGCACGAGGAUGACACAAAAAUUUGUGACACAUUCUAUGUUUUU